rnacentral:rRNA from 1 species
CCCAAACUCCUACGGGAGGCAGCAGUAGGGAAUCUUCCACAAUGGGCGAAAGCCUGAUGGAGCAACGCCGCGUGGGUGAAGAAGGUCUUCGGAUCGUAAAACCCUGUUGUUAGAGAAGAAAGUGCGUGAGAGUAACUGUUCACGUUUCGACGGUAUCUAACCAGAAAGCCACGGCUAACUACGUGCCAGCAGCCGCGGUAAUACGUAGGUGGCAAGCGUUAUCCGGAUUUAUUGGGCGUAAAGGGAACGCAGGCGGUCUUUUAAGUCUGAUGUGAAAGCCUUCGGCUUAACCGGAGUAGUGCAUUGGAAACUGGGAGACUUGAGUGCAGAAGAGGAGAGUGGAACUCCAUGUGUAGCGGUGAAAUGCGUAGAUAUAUGGAAGAACACCAGUGGCGAAAGCGGCUCUCUGGUCUGUAACUGACGCUGAGGUUCGAAAGCGUGGGUAGCAAACAGGAUUAGAUACCCUGGUAGUC